rnacentral:rRNA from 1 species
UACGAAGGGGGCUAGCGUUGCUCGGAAUUACUGGGCGUAAAGGGCGCGUAGGCGGAUGUUUAAGUCGGGGGUGAAAGCCCGGGGCUCAACCCCGGAAUUGCCUUCGAUACUGGACAUCUUGAGUACGGGAGAGGUGAGUGGAACUCCGAGUGUAGAGGUGAAAUUCGUAGAUAUUCGGAAGAACACCAGUGGCGAAGGCGACUCACUGGCCCGUUACUGACGCUGAGGCGCGAAAGCGUGGGGAGCAAACAGG